ACUCAAAGGAAUUGACGGGGGCUCACACAAGCGGUGGAGCAUGUGGUUCAAUUCGAAGCAACGCGCAGAACCUUACCUGGGCUUGACAUGCUUGGAUUAUCCCGAUGAAAGUCGGGUAGGCCCGCAAGGGUACAACAAGUACAGGUGCUGCAUGGCUGUCGUCAGCUCGUGUCGUGAGAUGUCGGGUUAAGUCCCAUAACGAGCGAAACCUUUGCCCUUAGUUACCAUCGGGUUAUGCCGGGGACUCUAAGGGGACUGCCGGUGUCAAACCGGAGGAAGGUGGAGAUGACGUCAAGUCCUCAUGGCCUUUAUGCCCAGGGCCACACACGUGCUACAAUGGCGUCGACAGAGGGAACCUAGAGCGCGAGCUCAUGGAAAUCUCAUAAAUGACGCCCCAGUUCAGAUCGGAGGCUGCAACUCGCCUCCGUGAAGUUGGAAUCGCUAGUAAUCGCGGGUCAGCUACACCGCGGUGAAUGUGUUCCUGAGCCUUGCACACACCGCCCGU
rnacentral:rRNA from 1 species